rnacentral:rRNA from 1 species
AUUGAACGCUGGCGGCAUGCCUUACACAUGCAAGUCGAACGGUAACAGGUCUUCGGAUGCUGACGAGUGGCGAACGGGUGAGUAAUACAUCGGAACGUGCCCGAGAGUGGGGGAUAACGAGGCGAAAGCUUUGCUAAUACCGCAUACGAUCUCAGGAUGAAAGCAGGGGACCGCAAGGCCUUGCGCUCACGGAGCGGCCGAUGGCAGAGUAGGUAGUUGGUGGGAUAAAAGCUUACCAAGCCGACGAUCUGUAGCUUGUCUGAGAGGACGACCAGCCACACUGGGACUGAGACACGGCCCAGACUCCUACGGGAGGCAGCAGUGGGGAAUUUUGGACAAUGGGCGCAAGCCUGAUCCAGCCAUGCCGCGUGCAGGAUGAAGGCCUUCGGGUUGUAAACUGCUUUUGUACGGAACGAAAAGACUCUGGUUAAUACCUGGGGUCCAUGACGGUACCGUAAGAAUAAGCACCGGCUAACUACGUGCCAGCCGCCGCGGUAAGAC